rnacentral:rRNA from 1 species
GAUGAACGCUGGCGGCGUGCCUAAUACAUGCAAGUCGAGCGAAUGGAUUGAGAGCUUGCUCUUAUGAAGUUAGCGGCGGACGGGUGAGUAACACGUGGGUAACCUGCCCAUAAGACUGGGAUAACUCCGGGAAACCGGGGCUAAUACCGGAUAACAUUUUGAACCGCAUGGUUCGAAAUUGAAAGGCGGCUUCGGCUGUCACUUAUGGAUGGACCCGCGUCGCAUUAGCUAGUUGGUGAGGUAACGGCUCACCAAGGCAACGAUGCGUAGGCGACCUGAGAGGGUGAUCGGCCAAACUGGGACUGAGACACGGCCCAGACUCCUACGGGAGGCAGCAGUAGGGAAUCCUCCGCAAUGGACGAAAGUCUGACGGAGCAACGCCGCGUGAGUGAUGAAGGCUUUCGGGUCGUAAAACUCUGUUGUUAGGGAAGAACAAGUGCUAGUUGAAUAAGCUGGCACCUUGACGGUACCUAACCAGAAAGCCACGGCUAACUACGUGCCAGCCGCCGCAGUAA